UCGCUGGCAGUCCAGUGGCUAAGACUCUGCGCUAACAAUGCAGGAGUCCAGGUUCCAUCCCUGGUCAGGGAA
rfam:TPA: Bos taurus chromosome 12, whole genome shotgun sequence.